rnacentral:lncRNA from 1 species
CUAAUUUUAGACUAGCUGGUGUUUGAUGCAUAGCCACAGUUAAUUGACCUCAUUUUAGGAGGAAGUAGAAUUCUGGAUAGGGAAAUAAUUUACCCAAGGCCACACAGGCAGUAAGUAUCAUUGUGUCCUGAAUUCUGUGAAGGUCAGUAACCUGAAAGAAGAUUGGGAAGAUACUAAGGGGACAAGUUGAGAAAAACCUUACAUGACAAAGGACUUUAUAUUGAUCCUGAAGGUUGCCAAACUGUUACAGUUAAAAGCCUCACCCACUGAUAUAUGUACAUACACUGGGACGAGAAUGUUUCUUGGUUGCAAGUUCCAUCCUGUGGAAGGACUAUUCUCUUAGAAAAAUAAUCAAUAUUGCAGAGGGAAAGGAGCAGAAUCAUAACAUUGAUCACAAAGACUGAUACAUUAUGGCACAAUAGACUUCUCUACUAGCAGCAACUCAAUGGCCCAGGACAAUCCAAAGGAAUUUAUGAAAAAGAAUGCUCUCCACAUCCAGAGAAAGAACUGUGGAAGCAGAAAAUGCAGAAGAAAAAUAUUUGAUUGAUCACAUGGUUAAAUGGGGAUAUGAUUGGGGUUUCAAUGUUAAAAGAUCAUUCUAUUUGCAAAUAUGAAUAACAUGGAAAUAGGUUUUGAGCAAUGAUACAUGUAUAACCCAGUGGGACUGCUUAUCAGCUCCAAGAGUAGGGAGGGAAGAGUGAUGGAGAAUUAUGAAUCAUGUAACCAUGGGAAAAAAGAAAAAUAAACAAUAUGAAAAUAUAUUUUGCA